GAUGAACGCUGGCGGCGUGCCUAAUACAUGUAAGUCGAACGAAAAGAGGAGCUUGCUUCUCUUUUAGUGGCGAACGGGUGAGUAAUACAUAAGCAACCUACCUAUUCGACCGGGAUAACAGUUGGAAACGACUGCUAAUACCGGAUAGGUGCGCGGGGGACAUCCCCUGCACAUUAAAGCUGGGACACAGCACGAAUGGAUGGGCUUAUGGCGCAUUAGUUAGUUGGCGGGGUAACGGCCCACCAAGACGAUGAUGCGUAGUCGACCUGAGAGGGUGACCGGCCACACUGGGACUGAGACACGGCCCAGACUCCUACGGGAGGCAGCAGUAGGGAAUUUUCGGCAAUGGGCGCAAGCCUGACCGAGCAACGCCGCGUGAGUGAAGAAGGCCUUCGGGUUGUAAAGCUCUGUUGUAAGGGAAGAAUGGCCAAGAGAGGGAAUGCUCUUGGAGUGACGGUACCUUACCAGAAAGCCACGGCUAACUACGUGCCAGCCGCCGCAGUAAGAC
rnacentral:rRNA from 1 species